CAAAGCCUAUAGGUUUUCACUGGGAUAUUUUGAAUCUUGUUUGAGUUUUUGUUUUUUCGGUUUUGAGAUGCAGGUCUUUGGAUGCUCGUCUAGGGGUUCGCCAUGUUUAUUCUACGAUAGAGGGAAGAGCUGACUGUCAGGAAAGGAGGAAGGCCUGAGCAGGAAGAGGAUGCACCUCCAGGCCUGGUGUACACUUCCUGCUCCAGAGUUACCUUCAGUGGGAAGAUUUCUUCCUUCCCAUAGUGCACCUGUGGACCAUCCUGGGCGCCCACACUCGCACUGGGAUCUCCUAGGAUUUGAUUCAGAACAGAAAAAACUGAUCAGGUCCAGCAAACGCUGUGUGUUAAGAACAAGAUGGCAAAAGGCAAGCAUCUGGUGAAGACCUGACUCCAGGAAUGCUGUCAUGAAUGAAUGCCUAAAGAAGUGGUCCUCUCACUUGGGAUGCAGGGUGGGAGCAUCUUCAAGGCUAAGAGCCCUGGUACCAUCCUCACCUUUUGCUCCUCCUCCUCCUCCUUUUCUCCUUUUCAUUCUUCUUGCCUCCUUUUCCUUUAGAAAUAACUAAUAAACACCUAAUAAAGGAUAGUAUGGAACA
rnacentral:lncRNA from 1 species